rnacentral:rRNA from 1 species
CUACGGGAGGCACCAGUGAGGAAUAUUGCACAAUGGGGGAAACCCUGAUGCAGCAACGCCGCGUGGAGGAUGACGCAUUUCGGUGUGUAAACUCCUUUUAUAUGUCAAGAAAAUGACGGUAGCAUAUGAAUAAGCACCGGCUAACUCCGUGCCAGCAGCCGCGGUAAUACGGAGGGUGCAAGCGUUAUUCGGAAUCACUGGGCGUAAAGGACGCGUAGGCGGGUUUUCAAGUCAGGUGUGAAAUCCUAUGGCUCAACCAUAGAACUGCACUUGAAACUGUAAACCUAGAGUAUGGAAGGGGCAGAUGGAAUUAGUGGUGUAGGGGUAAAAUCCGUAGAUAUCACUAGGAAUACCAAAAGCGAAGGCGAUCUGCUGGGACAUUACUGACGCUAAGGCGUGAAAGCGUGGGGAGCAAACAGGAUUAGAUACCCCUGUAGUC